UCAGCUCAGCUGGUAGAGCAUGAGGCUCUUAAUCUCAGUAUCAUGGCUUUGAGUCCCACAGGUGAUGAA